UACGGGGGGGGCAAGCGUUGUUCGGAAUUACUGGGCGUAAAGGGCGCGUAGGCGGUGCUCUAAGUUAGAUGUGAAAACUCUGGGCUCAACCCAGAGCCUGCAUCUAAAACUGGAGUGCUAGAGUUCUGGAGGGGGUAGCGGAAUUCCUGGUGUAGCGGUGAAAUGCGUAGAUAUCAGGAGGAACACCGGUGGCGAAGGCGGCUACCUGGACAGGAACUGACGCUGAGGCGCGAAAGCUAGGGGAGCAAACAGG
rnacentral:rRNA from 1 species